rnacentral:rRNA from 1 species
CCUACGGGAGGCAGCAGUGAGGAAUAUUGGUCAAUGGGCGCGAGCCUGAACCAGCCAAGUCGCGUGAGGGAAGACGGUCCUAUGGAUUGUAAACCUCUUUUGUCGGGGAGCAAAAGACGCCACGCGUGGCGUUCCGAGAGUACCCGAUGAAAAAGCAUCGGCUAACUCCGUGCCAGCAGCCGCGGUACUGGGGAGGAUCCGAGCGUUAUCCGGAUUUAUUGGGUUUAAAGGGUGCGCAGGCGGAUGUUAAAGUCAGUGGUAAAAUUAAGAGGCUCAACCUCAUCGAGCAGUUGAAACUGGUUGUCUUGAGUGAGCGAGAGGUAUGCGGAAUGCGUGGUGUAGCGGUGAAAUGCAUAGAUAUCACGAAGAACUCCGAUUGCGAAGGCAGCAUACCG